rnacentral:rRNA from 1 species
GACGAACGCUGGCGGCGUGCUUAACACAUGCAAGUCGAACGGAAAGGCCCUGCUUUUGUGGGGUGCUCGAGUGGCGAACGGGUGAGUAACACGUGAGUAACCUGCCCUUGACUUUGGGAUAACUUCAGGAAACUGGGGCUAAUACCGGAUAGGAGCUCCUGCUGCAUGGUGGGGGUUGGAAAGUUUCGGCGGUCGGGGAUGGACUCGCGGCUUAUCAGCUUGUUGGUGAGGUAGUGGCUUACCAAGGCUUUGACGGGUAGCCGGCCUGAGAGGGUUGACGGCCACAUUGGGACUGAGAUACGGCCCAGACUCCUACGGGAGGCAGCAGUGGGGAAUAUUGCACAAUGGGGGGAAGCCUGAUGCAGCAACGCCGCGUGCGGGAUGACGGCCUUCGGGUUGUAAACCGCUUUCGCCUGUGACGAAGAGUGAGUGACGGUAAUGGGUAAAGAAGCACCGGCUAACUACGUG